AUGAAUUAUGUAUUUAAUCAUCUUUUGUGUAUUAAAACAAUGGUUUCUGUUAGUUAGCUGCUCGAAACAGCGAACAUAUAUACAUAACAACCAACAUAUAACAAAAACCCACUGAGUGCAUAAAUGCGUGUAUACACGGAACAAGCUAAACUGCACUAAGAUCAUAUAAUAGCAUAACAUACAAAAAAUGACAAAGAAAAGAUAGGAUAGAUACAACAAGUAGCAGCACCUACAAAAGCACGCUGCAACAUGGCAUUUUAUUUAAACACUACAAUAAUUGUUAAUAGCCACUUCCUCAGUUGAUAGCUGCUGGUGGGAUGUGUGGAGGGUCAGGCUUUGGUUUGGGCUCGGGCUUAGGUUCUGGCUGUGGUUUUGGUUCGGGCUUAGGUUCUGGUUUUGGUUGGGGCUCUGGUUUUGGUUCGGGUUUAGGCUCUGGUUUUGGAUCAGGCUUAGGCUCUGGCUUUGGUUGUGGCUCCGGUUCUGGUUUCGGUUUUGGUUCAGGUUUAGGCUCUGGCUUUGGUUCUGGUUCUGGUCUUGGUUCGGGUUUAGGCUCAGGCUUUGGCUCUGGUUUUGGUUCGGGCUUAGGCUCUGGCUUUGGCUCUGGUUUUGGUUCUGGCUUAGGCUCUGGCUUUGGUUGUGGCUCUGGCUUUGGAUCUGGUUUCGGUUUCGGCUCAGGCUUUGGCUCUGGCUUAGGUUCUGGCCUUGGUUCGGGUUUAGGCUCAGGCUUUGGCUCUGGUUUUGGUUCGGGCUUAGGCUCUGGCUUUGGCUCUGGUUUUGGUUCUGGUUUAGGCUCAGGCUUUGGUUGUGGCUCUGGCUUUGGUUCUGGUUUCGGCUCAGGCUUAGGCUCUGGCUUAGGUUGGGGCUCUGGCUUUGGCUCCGGUUUCGGUUCGGGUUUAGGCUCUGGCUUAGGCUCUGGUUUUGGUUGUGGCUCUGGCUUUGGCUCUGGUUUCGGUUUGGGUUUAGGCUCUGGCUUUGGCUCAGGUUUAUGCUCUGGCUUAGGCUCUGGUUUUGGUUCAGGUUUUGGCUUUGGUUUUAUUUUAGGUUCGGGCUUAGGCUCUGGCUUAGGUUCGGGCUUAGGUUCAGGCUUCGGUGUAGGCAAUGGCUCUGGUUUGGAUUUUGGUUGAGGCUUGGGCAUUGGUUGAGGUUCAGGGUUGGGCUUUGGUUGAGGUUCAGGCUUUGGCUCUGGAUGUGGCAUAGGUUUCGGUUUAGGUUCUGGCUGGGGCAGUGGCUGCAUAUGGGGCUCCGGCUUAGUUUUAGGUUGUGGCUCCGGCUGGGGCAUCUCAGCGGCAGCACGUCCAUGCUUGCGCGCGAAACGCGCGCCGUGGCCAAGCCCGAAGCCGGCAGCAGCCGCUUCGUCGAAGGCGGUGGCAGCGGCCACUCCUGCCAGAAGCACGGCGAGGAGAAAGCAAGAGAGGCGACGCGUCGCCGCCAUUCCUGCUGCUCCUGCAAGUUAUUAGCCUGCUAACUCUGCGGUGUGUCUUCCUCUCUCUUGCUCUAGAACUGUUGGAUCGUAGUAAUCUCUCUGCUGUGUUGUGUGUGUGUGGAUGACGGGGGUGUGGCCAUGGGUAGGAUUUAUAGCGUGGCCGAGCCAACCAGCUUUGGACGCGUGGAUGGCUGUCUGUCUUGCUGCUUACAGGUUUGGCCUCGGCCGUAUCACCGGGUUGGUAGCAGCUAAUUAAGCCCGUGUUAUUGUUAUUCAACGAAUAGCAGUAGCACGUAACUUUCACUUUUACUUUCUCACGGAUUCGCGUCCAUCUCUUCUCUUGUUCCAACAUAUAUAAUGUAGAUACACGCUGCUGUCCUGCGACUAGGGAUGAAAACGGUCGGAAACGGUAUUUAUUCGGUAAUCAGUUUUUUUGUCGUUUUUCUUUUAUUGUGAUAUAUAAUAUAUAAUACAAAUUUGUAUUCUUGUUUUUAACAUCCAGCUUGUUAAGAUUCAUAAAAGGUAAACCUCAAAUUCAUCCUAUAUUUUCUCAAAUAAUAGAUAUAAACUUCGGUAUGGAUUCGGAAACAAAUUCGGUAAUUUUUUCAACUUUUUGUGUUGUAGGGAGCAAAUAAUACAUAAAACAAUUUAUGUAAUAUUUUAUUCAUAUUUGUACUAAUGUGCUUGAUAACAUAAGAAAAGAUCAACAUCAAAUUUUAUACAUAUCUAUUUUAAAAUAUUAAAUUUGUUCUAACAGUUCGGAUUACCACUUUCAUCCCUACCUGCGAGUCAGCACACCCGACUGGUACGUUUGCUAGCCUCUGAUGAGACACGGGGACACGGGUAGGUAUUUAUUAGCUUCUCUUUGACGACACACGCUGCUGCUGAUGACCAUAUAUAUGAAGGAUUCAUCUCUUCUCUCAUCCAGGCGGGCCAUGCAUUCAGUUAUUAUCUGUGUACGUACAUCGUCGUUUGAUAUUCCUGGUUGCUUUGACAGCCAGAGCAAAGAUAUUUUGUGCUGAUAUAUCUAGCUAGCUAGAUGACCAGGGCUAGCCAAUAGCCAUUGUCAUCUGUCGCUGCAUGCGCGUGGUCCUGGAGUUCACAUCGUCAUCCUAGAGCUUGUCCUAUGGCGAGCUUGGUGUGCGAUGCGUAGCUGGCAUCAUAUGCAUACAUGGUUGGCGGGCAUUCAGCUGGGAGAGGACAGACGACACUGUGACACAGGAUCGAUGAUAUUCGUUACUCGACAUUUGAUCUGUAGCUACAAUAUCUGUUUUGGCCAAACGCGACCCAAUCAGCACCCUGCACCUUUGGUUCCCAGAGCAUGCGGCUUCAAAGUAAGCCCUGGCCUCCUCUGUCAUGAGUGGUCUCUACAAAAGAAUCUUCACAUAUAUUUUUUUUGGCAGUACUACCAUACUUACAUAGGCAGCGCCGUUAACACAGUAGUCGCAUCUACAAACAUAUCUUUGGAGGUAGAUCAGUCAAGUAGGGCCUCUACAAAUGAUAUUGCGUGUAAGAGCAUUAAUUUUCAACAGUGGCUUAAAUUUGUGCCAUAUAUUGAAAUAUAUAGGACAUAACUCAUAAAAAAUAGUUCCAACAAUGUCUUAUUUUAUAAUUUUUUUAUAAAAAAAUAGGACACAUAAUAGAGUGACUCAAAUAUACUAUACCUCGUAUUAUUUAGUGCCCUAUCCUUAAUUUCUACAUUACCAUCAACUUUCUUUCCUAAUAAUAUAAUUUGCUUCCUAAAUACAUGCUUCAGGGCUUAACUCUUCGAGUUCAAUUUGUUUUUAGUACUCUAAACACUCUAAAUGAUAUAGUAUUUUAGUUUUUGGGGCACUAUUUUGAGACACUUUGUUAGAGAUGCUCUAACUAAUAGCCCCCAUCAUAUCCUCGUCAGGAAUUAUAUAUGGUAACCAAAGGAGGAAGGGAGAUAUUUUAUUAUCUACCAAAAAUUACCAAUCUAAG
rnacentral:lncRNA from 1 species